ACAUGAAAGAAUCCAAAGUCCCUGUCGGGAUUCGAACCCACAGCGGUGAGGGGCAAGUGGUUUGAAGUCAACGACCUUAACCACUCGGCCACGGACGCCCCAGAUAUACAUAUUAAAACAUAUACAGUUCAAUGGUGGAAUUGCAUUUAGCACAUUAUAGCGUGUGAAAAAUGUAAAUAUGAUUAAUGUCGUUAUUUUUUUUAUAGAACGGAUGUCGAAAUUCAUAAUUUAGAUGUUAAGUUGUAUACUGCAGCCUGUUAUAACGUGACACCGUAUUUACAGAUAUAUGAGACAUUUGUUGUGCAAUCGUAGAAGUAACUUGAGAAAUAUACCAGGUAUAAAGUAAAUUAACGUUCGGUUAUUCAGCGUUAAAUUUAUAACGGUAGCUAGCACCAUGAUAAGUAAGCAAACAUUAGUCAUUAAACAUAAUUCAUCAAAAAGAAUUGUCUUCCAAGGGUUCUUAUAUCAAUCCUAAAUUAAAACACGUGCCUUAAUAACAAAUGUUAAAAAGAGUUUUUAGUAAUAUGUUUAUCUUUGGAAAUACAUACAUACAAUUCUUGUUUCUUAAUUCCUUGUUUCUUUGUUUCUUGAUUCCUUAAACUUUUGCGAUAACCGUAAUUAAUUAAGUUUCAAUGUAAUUAUAUUAUCAUUACAAAUGUAUCUGACUGUCAAAAUACUGAAAUGAUAUAAUUUGUAUAAAUUGGACAUAAAUGUUAUUUUCAUUUCCUGUUACUUUGUAAUUGUCUUGACAGAAUAUUAAAUGAUUUUGUUUGUGUUGUUUUCCGGUGUGUAUAUUAAAAAUAAUUUUGACAUUAGUCUGUAAUCAAACAAGUAAUAGAGAAGGGUUAUGUUUCCAGUAUCUAGUUAAUCUUUUUCAUCAUUACGCACUUAAGUGAAAUGUAGAAUAAACAGUGUUUUUCGUCAUUAUAUUGACAAAGUACUAAUUAAAAAGAAAUAAAAACAAAAAUAGGAAUUGUAUAUUUAUAAAGCUUGAAUAUAUUAAGUGUUUCGCAACAGCUCGUUGCUUUUCAAAACCCAGAGUUUCUCAAUGAUAAUAUUGAUAAAGAGAUCGAACAACGUGCUUCAAAAGCAGGGUAUGUAAAUUUAAGAUUCAUUUUAAUUUCUACGCAAUUAUUUUGUAAAUGUAUGCAGUUAAACUUUUAUUGUUUGUAUGCAUUCAAAUUACGACAUUUUCAUAUUUGAUGGCCCAGUCACAUUCUUAAUAUGUCAAUAAGUACAUAUUAUUUCAUGACAUGUAGUAAGAAUGAGUUUACUAAGCGCAUUCUUAUACUAGUUAUUUUUUAUAUAUGUUAUAGACCGUUGGUUAUUAAGCUGUCACAACAUAUUGCUCCGUUAUUUAGAUACCCGCCUGUUUCCUAUUGUACAAAUAGAUGUCAAGUGUAACAAUAUUGCAAUGUUUUACACGGUACAUAUUUCAUACGUUUAUUGUAGUCCUUCUUACCCAUGCCUUUAUGUACGUUUAUCGUUAGAAGAUUUUUUGCCUUUUACUGAAUAUUUUAUCUUUCUAAAGUACAUGUAGUACAAAAACCACCAUAAAACUGUAAACAUUAAAAUUGCUAGGUUUUAUUGUACACUAUUUGAUGAAAUAUAUGCAUAAGAAGCCGAUAUGAUAAGGAAAAAGGUUUGUGAGAGAAACGUAUAUGUCUGCUGUUCGUGCAAACAGAUAAACGACAAUGUCAAAAUAAUAUUCUGUUGUUAUAGAAAAAGCAAAACAGAAUGAUACAGAGCAUAAUCGACAAAGGGAUACACUUAAUAUAAUUGAAUAUGAAAACAUGCCAUAUGUCUUAAUGUAGUAGAUACAGGUGCAUAUGACUAAUACUCGAAUUUUGAAAACCAUAAUAUAUUAUCAAAAGACGUGCACACUAUUGUAAUGUUACACGAUAACGCCAAAAAAUACCUUUAUAUUUUUUAAAUAUCUUAUUAAAUAUACUUAUUUUUUCAGCAUAUUUCAAGACAUUGAAUAAGGUUAUACAGAUUCAGCAUUUAUAUAAUGGCAGAUUUAACCGAAGUAUGACCGAAGGGUUAUUCAACAUCAGAAGAGAGAAUCGGCCCAGCCGGUUUCGGUUCAAAUAGAAAAUAGUCUCAGGGAAUAGUACAUAUGUGUUAUGUAAAAUGUAUAAGUGUGUGUACUAAAACAACGUAAUAUAACACUAAAUGACAGUGAUGAUUCGAAUUAAAAAGCAAAACAUUACAAACAAUGGCUAUUGAAACUUCAAGGAAGAAGUAAUCGAGAGGUAAUCGAGUGGUGCUUGGAAAUUCGUUAAUUAAUCAGCCUUAAGAAGAAAGAAACAGUGAUUUGACAUUAAACAAUCAAGAAGAUGAUACUGGAUAUUAAUAUAAAAAGGCGUCAAAUAAGGAGUAACCAUAAAAUACGGAUAAAACGGAUAAAAGACAAGUGAUGCAUUGGAACAAACGCGAACAAUUUUGAAUGCGCGCUGAAGACAUCAGGCAUAAACAUUUAACUUUGAAGUUGCUGAAGUGAUUUUGGUAUUCUCAAUUCAUCAUGUUCAACUAAAGUUUUUCUUUUUUUUCUAAAAAAAUCAAACUUGUUAUUAGUAUUUGAUUCUGCUAAAAUAUAAUUCCGGGAAAUGUAUAUAUAAUAUGUCUUAUCAGUGCUUUGAGUUUUUGUGUAAUAUAAUAUUGCGCAAUAUUAUAAUAUUUGAUAAGUAUGAAUUUCUGAGACAUAUUGUGCCAUAAACUUCUGUUUGUUCAUAAUCUUUGGUAUUAAAUACUUAAAGGCACGUCAUGCCUCAAAAAUGUUGUGCUAUUAGUUGUAUUUAUGUUUUCGUAUCUUGUUACCGUUUCAUAAAAAAUAGUACUCACUCAUUGUCCAUAUAGAACAAUUUUGUGAUAUAAUUUGGGACAUAUUGUGCCUUUAACCUUUUUACAAUUUUGAUACUAGCUUUUAAAAUCCAAUAUCUUUCUUUCAUAAACAUCUUUUCUUUAUAUGUUUGAUAUGUUUCAAUGUUCAAAUUGAUUUUUGUUUUUGUUUCUGAUUUUCGAUAUCAUUUAGGAAAUUAGAUAUGAGAUCAGAAUUCUCCAUAAAUAAUUUAUUUGUUAUUUCUAUUACAUUCGAUUAAUGUUCAGUAAUACCAACUUUGUCUUUUUUGUGUUUGUUUCAGUAACAAUGCAUGCAAUUUUAUGGAAAAAAAAAUAGAAAAUGAAAUUUUAAUCUCUUUCUAUGCUAUGCAUAAAUUUUAUUGCAAGUUAAAUGAUUUCUUUUUUUCUUUGAAAAAAAAUUAAACACAGAAAAACACACAAACAACAUGAAAAACGAUCUAUGAAAACAUAUCAUUGAACAUACGUUUGAAUAUAUCUAGGACUAAAAUUGUAUAUAUAAACAAAGCAGCCUGGUUUAAA